GAAUGCGAUCAUACCAGCACUAAUGCUCCGGAUCCCAUCAAAACUUUUCAGUUACGCGUGCUUGGGCGAGAGUAGUACUAGGAUGGGUGACCUCCAGGAAAGUUCUCAUGUUGCAUCCC